rnacentral:lncRNA from 1 species
CUAGACCUGGCAAACACAGCCAGCCUUUUGGAAACUAAAAGUGCUCUACUGGCCUGGCAGUAGAUGAGGUUUUCACACAGCACAGCUGCUGCAACACGAAAACUCUCUGUGAACAGCACAAACCAUCUCCUUGUGAAUGCAUAAGCCAAAGGCACAUGAAUUAUGUGUUAAUACUGAUAGGCUUGAAGCCCAAGAGGAGGGGUAAACCCAGGCCCUGCAAAUCAAUGCCCAGCUGCUGAUUGCACAUGUGCUUGAGGGACCAUGAAGAGGGAGAAGAUAAAUGCUUGCAAAGAGGUGGUGAUUGAUGCAGGUGUGUGGCUGGACUUGCACGAGUCAUGGGAAGCUCCUGGAUUGUUUCUGCCUUUGAAACCUUGCUCGUGUAAUGACAGUGUGAAAAAUGAAAACUUUCCUGGUACCUGCACCUUUCAAUGCUCACAAAUGCUAUUCACAAGCCUGAAAGUAGUAAGGGCCCAUUAGAUGAAGAAAAUUGUGAUCCCAGGAGGAGGGAACAGAGAAGAUGUGGGGACUGAUAUGAAGUUGUGGUUUGAAUCCCUCUCCUUCCCACCAAAACAAAGGCACCUCUGUGAAAUUCAUCUUUCCCUCCCCAAGCGUCAACCAUGUUUCUUUGGUUUUGCCUCCUCAUGCAUGCACAUGUACUUGCAUAUGUUUAUAUGUAAAUAAAACCAAAUUGCUUAUCA